GCGGAAUUCCAUAGGUGGAGGUUGAAGAAAGUGGUUCUAGGUGGAGACUAGAGAGCAAAGAGGUUUUUAAUUUUUUAAUCCAACGAUUAGAUUUCUGAAUUAAAACGACCUGAUAUGCUUUGGAUGUUUGUCCCCUCGAAAUCUCAUGUUGAAAUGUGGUCCCCAGUGUUAAAGGUGGGGUCUAGUGGGAAAUAUUUGG